GGGGUGAUCGUCCAACGGGAGGACACUGGCGUGGCACGCCAGAAAUCCGGGUUCGAGUCCCGGUCAUUCCACCA
rnacentral:tRNA from 1 species